rnacentral:lncRNA from 1 species
CUCCAAGGAGGAGUCAUUGCAGCCUCUCUGGGCAGCUUCUGCCAGUGCCCCGGUCCCUUGAUCAUCUUGGUGGCCUUCCAUUGGUCUCCCUCUAGUACCUUCAUGUCUCUCUUGUACUGGGGGCCCAGACCUACACACAGUACACCAUUUCUCUGCAAGGUUAUCUGUAUGGGAACCAUUGAAUCAUGGCCUGAACCUCUGAUUGAUCAGCCGAGGCAAGCACUGAGUCAGCUGUGGGAGCACAGGUGAAGGCAAUUCAGCUGUGUGACCAGAAGGGAUAUAGCAUGGCCGCACCUCUCCUGGACCCCACUUAAGGGCUCUCUGCCAUUGGGGAAGGAUCUCUUUCUGGAGAUCACUCCUCUUGGAGUUUUUUCUGUGAGCCUACAACACGGGCGCUUGACAGUCUUGUUAGUGGAUGCCAACGUCAAAUGUGUUUGGAUAUCCCUGAGUACUCUGCUUGUUGCUCUGGUCCAUGUGCCUUGACCUGUCAUUUCAAGACUGCCUCUCCUUUCAGAAAGAGAUUCCCAGGGAGACAAACCUCAGAUAAGUACUCUGUUGGACCACAGUCACUGCAAAGGGUCCUACUUUAAAAAAUUGUAUGUAAAAGAGUGAUUUUUAUUUAACUCUGGAGUUGAAGUCCCUUGCCAAUUUUUUGGUCAGAGUUAUCAAAAAGAUAAACACACAGUAAGUGCUGGAGUAUGGAAAGCAGACAAACUAUGGGAGCUGCAUGUGGGAAAAGCCGUAUCUCGUGGUGGGAAGCUCUGCCUUACUGCAGUGAGGGCAACAGGUGCUUAAUGGCUGCCCUCAAAAAACACAGCUUCUGCCAAAAAAAUUACGUUACUUUCCUAGUAUAGGCAUGUAUAAAAGAAAUAGCACUAAAGCCGCCCUCAAAGGCCUGUCCUCAUUUGUUUGUUUAUUUUAGUGCAUUUUUAAAAUACUACUUAUUACAUAUUUCCAUGAACGUUGCUGCACAAAUGUUACCACUGUGUAGGACAGCUGCCAGGUUACCACCUUUAUGUUGUGGUAGUGGUUUGGCGAUGCAGAACUCCACGUGUCGGUCACAUGGAAGGGUCUCUCCUUUAUUUUUCUGUGCUAAAAAGUGUCUUUUGGACAAUCUCUCUCCUCUGUGUUGCUUUCACCAGGUAUCUCUGGGCAUGUGAGUGCUGCUAGAAUUCUUCUGUAGGACCAGAACUGCUUUCCACCUGCUAGGAAGGAAGAAUUGCUUACAUGACCUGGAGGGAAAAACAAAAAUUUGCUGGUAUUUCUUUGAUCAGUAGGAAAUGAAUAUUCUGUGUUCAGACUAGUAUGGAGGAUUGGUCACUGGCCAUAAAUCACACAUAACUAAAAAGAGUGGCGUGGAAUACCAUGAAGGCCUGCUGUACUUGAUGCUUUGUAUGCCUUCAGGCCACAGGCAGGGAUGCAAAUGUACUGACAUGGAUGGGACUGAGUUCGUCUGUAGCAGAAUCUGUAACGGAAACGCUGUGCUUCUGUUUCAGAAGACAAACAUUUCACCUUUGCUGACAUCAAAACUCUCCAUGAAAGAAGUGGCGCUGAAAAUCAGCCUUACUGGAGGUGACCUUACUGUGCUGGAUGCUCACGGCUGGUGGGGCAAUGGGAGAGCUCAGGUGCAUGCCCACAUUUCUUGCAGAGUGAUGCAAGGAUGAGCAGCUUGCCCUGGAGGCAGCAAGCAGACGUUUCCUAUCGCCCAGCAUCUGCUGUUUGAGACGUUUCCCGAAGAAGAGGCCAAGUAGGUCUCCUGCAGUUUAAUGCGCACAUCAUCAGAAGCUCGAGUGUGCCUCUGUUUGUCGUGCUGAGAAAUGCUGUGAGCGGUCAGAACCAAGAAAAAUUGGGCUUUGGGACCCUUAUUACAGGAUGGACUUGAUUCAAGCUUUCUGUCCAAAGAAACAACUUCAGGAUUCCUGCAUAAUGGCCUGCACUGGUCUUCUCAAACUGCUUCUAAAAAUGUCAUCACAUUCUGUGUAUGGUUAAGAUUUAAAAUAUCUCACUGGACUGUAAGUGAUCAGAGUAGGAAAAAUACUUCUGAUGAAUGCACCUAUCUCAGUUCCAUCAUUCUGGAAACAAGUUAGAGGAAAAUGCAUUUUUCUGCCUGUGCUCGCAUACCUCUGAGUGAAAUAACUGUAAGCACACUGAUGUUUCACUGCCAAUACAGAACUUGCCAUACAGAAGCAAGAGAGGGAACGGGCUGCAUUCAUUUCAAAACUCAUAGAAUCACAGAAUAUCUCAAGUUGGAAGGGACUCACAAGGAUCACCAAGUCUAACUCCCAGCUGCACACAGGACCCAAAAUUCUACAUCUGAGAGUGCUGUCCAAACGUUCCUUGAACUCCUUCAGGCCUGGGGCUGGGAUCUCUUCGCACAGCAGCAUGGAGAGCUGUGAGAAUGUAUCUCCCAUGGCCACUUUGUCCAAAAGGUACAAGGAAGCCAGAAGGUUUAAUGUGAGAUGAGAAGCAAGAAACAAGCCACAAAGAAACCUGUGCUGGGCUAGCAAACGGUACGUGUGCUGUGCUUCACUUCAGCCUGGGUUAAGCCUGUCUGCCCACUGAGUGAGGGCGCAGCAAACUGCUGACAAGUAACAAG